UGAGGCCCCAGGCGGCCAGCUCUGGAGCCCUGGAUUCAGCUCCCACAGUAACUACAGAGAUCUCAGCCUGCAGGGCCUGGAGGCUCCGAGGUGGG
rnacentral:pre_miRNA from 1 species